GGCGAUCAGAUACCGCCCUAGUUCUAACCGUAAACGAUGACAACCAGCGAUUAGUCGGCGUUAAUAUACGACCCGACUAGCAGCUUCCGGGAAACCAAAGUUUUUCGUUUCCGGGGGAAGUAUGGUUGCAAAGCUGAAACUUAAAGGAAUUGACGGAAGGGCACCACCAGGAGUGGAGCCUGCGGCUUAAUUUGACUCAACACGGGAAAACUCACCCGGCCCGGACACCGUAAGGAUUGACAGACUGAGAGCUCUUUCUUAAUUCGGUGGGUGGUGGUGCAUGGCCGUUCUUAGUUGGUGGAGCGAUUUGUCUGGUUAAUUCCGAUAACGAACGAGACUCUGGCCUAUUAAAUAGACGGUAUAUCGAAAAGUAUAUCGCGCUUCUUAGAGGGACAAGCGGCGUCUAGCCGCAUGAAAUAGAGCAAUAACAGGUCUGUGAUGCCCUUAGAUGUCCGGGGCUGCACGCGCGCUACACUGAAAGAAUCAGAGUGCGCAUCGCCUGGUUCGGAAGAACCGGGUAACCCGAGCAAAUUCUUUCGUGCUUGGGAUAGGGAAUUGCAAUUAUUUCCCUUGAACGAGGAAUUCCCAGUAAAUGCGGGUCAUAAGCUCGCGUUGAUUACGUCCCUGCCCUUUGUA
rnacentral:rRNA from 1 species